rnacentral:sRNA from 1 species
AAGAUUGGUGGACUGGAGCAGCGGCCGGUGGGGAGGGCGCUCGGCGGCGGCCUGCGGCCAUGGCCACCGUGAUGGCAGCGACGGCGGCGGAGCGGGCGGUGCUGGUGAGGCGCGCGGGCCAGCGGGCGGGCCGGCGGAGCGGCGGGUCCGGGCGUGACCGCCUUGUCUGUCCCGCAGGAGGAGGAGUUCCGCUGGCUGCUGCACGACGAGGUGCACGCUGUGCUGAAGCAGCUGCAGGACAUCCUCAAGGAGGCCUCUCUGCGCUUCACUCUGCCGGGCUCCGGCACUGAGGGGCCCGCCAAGCAAGAGAACUUCAUUCUAGGCAGCUGUGGCACAGACCAGGUGAAGGGUGUGCUGACUCUGCAGGGGGAUGCCCUCAGCCAGGCGGAUGUGAACCUGAAGAUGCCCCGGAACAACCAGCUGCUGCACUUCACCUUCCGGGAGGACAAGCAGUGGAAGCUGCAGCAGAUCCAGGAUGCCAGAAACCAUGUGAGCCAAGCCAUUUACCUGCUUAUCAGCCGGGACGAGAGCUACCAGUUCAAGACAGGCGCUGAGGUCCUCAAGCUGAUGGACGCAGUGAUGCUGCAGCUGACCAGAGCCCGAAACCGGCUCACCACCCCCGCCACCCUCACCCUCCCCGAGAUCGCCGCCAGCGGCCUCACGGUCAGUGCUCCUGCCAGUCCCUGCUCCAGGAGAGGGGUCCCACAGCGGGGCCCAGCUUGCCCUCA